GGGGGCGAUCGGUUUCGACAGGAUAAGAGAUAUAAUUGAUUGCGCACGGAGGAUAAUAGUUAUCUCCUUAAUCAACUAUUACAAACAUAGUUGCCGAUUACGGCUACAUGGCUGCAGCUUAAUUUUGUGGCCCGUUUCUAUUCAAAUUAGCCCGUGGUUUAAAUAAGAAGCGUCAAUUACACAGGCUGGUCCUUAUUAUGCCUGAUUUUUAAGGAUGAGAUUUUUCAGGCUAGCUCUAAUGAAUUUUUGUCUUGAGUUAUAAUUAGGGUAAAGACUUAACUUAAGACUAUGUGUGUAGACGUCAGUUAUAAUUUUAUUUUGGACGGGAGUUCGAUUCUCCCCGCCUCCACAA
rnacentral:tmRNA from 1 species